rnacentral:rRNA from 1 species
AACGAACGCUGGCGGCGUGUUUAAGACAUGCAAGUCGCACGGGAUAAGACAUGUAGUAAUACUUGUUUUAUUUAGUGGCGCACGGGUGAGUAACACGUGAAUUACAUGCCCUAUAGUGGGGAAUAGCCCAGGGAAACUUGGAUUAAUACCCCAUGGUAUCGACAGAUUCAAGUUGGCCGCAAGGCUGUUGCUAUAGGAUUGGUUUGCGCCCUAUCAGCGUGUUGGUGAGGUAACGGCUCACCAAGGCAAUGACGGGUACCUGGUCUGAGGGGACGAUCAGGCACACUGGAACUGAGACACGGUCCAGACACCUACGGGUGGCAGCAGUCGAGAAUAAUUCACAAUGGGGGCAACCCUGAUGGUGCAACGCCGCGUGGAGGAUGACGGUCUUCGGAUUGUAAACUCCUGUCAUCUGGGAGAAAGACCUGACGGUAAAUAGCCGGCAGGGUUGAUAGUACCAGAAGAGGAAGGGACGGCUAACUUCGUGCCAGCAGCCGCGGUAA